rnacentral:misc_RNA from 1 species
AACGCACAUUGCGCCUGCCAGUAUUCUGGCAGGCAUGCCUGUCCGAGCGUCAUUACCCCCCUCGAGCCCUGCUUGCUCGGUGUUGGGACGCUGUAGGCGCUCUGCCUACAGCCCCCGAAAGCCAGUGGCGGGCCUGUUUGGAACCCGAGCGCAGUCCAAUUUGCCUCGCUUAGGGCCUUCCAGCAGUGCUCAGCCGUUAACGCUUUUGACGCAUUGUCAAUGUAUACAAGUUUGACCUCGGAUCAGGUAGGAAUACCCGCUGAACUUAA